rnacentral:rRNA from 1 species
UAGGGAAUAUUGCACAAUGGGGGAAACCCUGAUGCAGCGACGCCGCGUGAGUGAUGAAGGCCUUCGGGUCGUAAAGCUCUGUCGUAUGGGACUAACAAAAUGAAGGUACCAUGCAAGAAAGGAUCGGCUAACUUCGUGCCAGCAGCCGCGGUAAGACGAGGGAUCCUAGCGUUGUUCGGAAUUAUUGGGCGUAAAGCGGGUGUAGGCGGACUUAUAAGUCAGGUGUGAAAUCCCAGGGCUCAACCCUGGAAGUGCACUUGAUACUGCAAGUCUUGAGUGUGGUAGAGGCUAUUAGAAUUCCUGGUGUAGUGGUGAAAUACGUAGAUAUCAGGAGGAAUACCGGAGGCGAAGGCGGAUAGCUGGGCCAACACUGACGCUGAGACCCGAAAGCGUGGGGAUCAAACAGGAUUAGAUACCCAUGUAGUCCCUGAGCGGGCUGGCAAGGCGCAU